CCUACGGGAGGCAGCAGUGGGAAUCCUGCGCAAUGGCGAAAGCCUGACGCAGCCAUGCCGCGUGAAUGAUGAAGGUCUUAGGAUUGUAAAAUUCUUUCACCGAGGACGAUAAUGACGGUACUCGGAGAAGAAGCCCCGGCUAACUUCGUGCCAGCAGCCGCGGUAAUACGAAGGGGGCUAGCGUUGCUCGGAAUUACUGGGCGUAAAGGGAGCGUAGGCGGAUAGUUUAGUCAGAGGUGAAAGCCCAGGGCUCAACCUUGGAAUUGCCUUUGAUACUGGCUAUCUUGAGUACGGAAGAGGUAUGUGGAACUCCGAGUGUAGAGGUGAAAUUCGUAGAUAUUCGGAAGAACACCAGUGGCGAAGGCGACAUACUGGUCCGUUACUGACGCUGAGGCUCGAAAGCGUGGGGAGCAAACAGGAUUAGAUACCCUGGUAGUCCACGCUG
rnacentral:rRNA from 1 species